rnacentral:rRNA from 1 species
GACGAACGCUGGCGGCGUGCUUAACACAUGCAAGUCGAACGGAAAGGCCCUGCUUGCAGGGUACUCGAGUGGCGAACGGGUGAGUAACACGUGGGUGAUCUGCCCUGCACUUCGGGAUAAGCCUGGGAAACUGGGUCUAAUACCGGAUAGGAGCCAUUUUUAGUGUGAUGGUUGGAAAGUUUUUUCGGUGUAGGAUGAGCUCGCGGCCUAUCAGCUUGUUGGUGGGGUAAUGGCCUACCAAGGCGGCGACGGGUAGCCGGCCUGUGAGGGUGGACGGCCACCUUGGGACUGAGAUACGGCCCAGACUCCUACGGGAGGGAGCAGUGGGGAAUAUUGAACAAUGGGCGCCAGCCUGAUGCAGCGACGCCGCGUGGGGGAUGACGGCCUUCGGGUUGUAAACUCCUUUCGCUAGGGACGAAGCUUUUUGUGACGGUACCUAGAUAAGAAGCACCGGCUAACUACGUG